rnacentral:rRNA from 1 species
GCCCUACGGGUGGCAGCAGUGGGGAAUAUUGCACAAUGGGGGAAACCCUGAUGCAGCGACGCCGCGUGAGCGAUGAAGUAUUUCGGUAUGUAAAGCUCUAUCAGCAGGGAAGAAGAUGACGGUACCUGACUAAGAAGCCCCGGCUAACUACGUGCCAGCAGCCGCGGUAAUACGUAGGGGGCAAGCGUUAUCCGGAUUUACUGGGUGUAAAGGGAGCGUAGACGGCGAUGCAAGCCAGAUGUGAAAGCCCGGGGCUCAACCCCGGGACUGCAUUUGGAACUGUGUGGCUGGAGUGUCGGAGAGGCAGGCGGAAUUCCUAGUGUAGCGGUGAAAUGCGUAGAUAUUAGGAGGAACACCAGUGGCGAAGGCGGCCUGCUGGACGAUGACUGACGUUGAGGCUCGAAAGCGUGGGGAGCAAACAGGAUUAGAUACCCCGGUAGUCCC